rnacentral:rRNA from 1 species
CUUAUGCGAUCAUACCAGCACUACA